UCUUCCUAUCUGAGUGUUAGUAUACUAUGUAAAGCCACUUAAUACAGUUCCUAAAAUGAAGUGUAUGCAUUAUAAAUAUCAGUGUCCUAUUAGCCUGGAAUUCCACCAAUGUGUUUCCAAAGAAAUUGCCUUGGAGUAGUGAUUUUUCAGCCUUGGUUCCACAUUAGAAUCACCUGACCAGCUCUUGGGAAGUCCCCACACUCAGCAGCCUCCCAGAUGGAUAAGUCCGAGUGAGAUUCAGGCCUCACUAUAUUCUUAAAACUCCCUAGGUGAUUCAAAUCUGCAGUCAAAGUUUAGAACCACUGUUUUACAGCUACCUCACAAACAGGAUUUGUAGGGAAAGG